rnacentral:lncRNA from 1 species
ACUUUUUGUGAUGUCAUAAAAGCCUCCCGAGAACUCACAAUGAACAACAGACACAACCUUGCUGUUUCCCAGCACAUUUAGGACAUUCACCAACUGACAUUACUCUAUAUCAUUGUCAAAGUUAAUGGAGAACCAAAAAAUACCAAAGGGAAACCAAAGACAUAUAGCUUUUGCAACAAAACUAUUUAGAGGGGGCCCCCAAGUUGAAGAAACACCAAAGCUUCACAAAUGCAAGAGUGUCAGGCUUAAGUGUCACCCACAUAAGUCUGAACCAGCUGGUCUGAUUGAGAAAACAUUGCAAGAAGCUGAUGCUUUCUGUAGACGAGAAGGAGCACAACAUUCAGAAGACCUUAACUGUCUGAAAGAGAUCAAGAAGAAAGUAUAUGAAAACAAAGAAGAUAAAGAUGGUGAUCAUGAGCAAGACGGAUUUGUUCAUGCGGACACCAGGGAAACAACGGAGGCAAAGACACAAACUGGAAUUGAAGAUAUUUUUCUGGAGAUAAAGAAAGACUUGUCAUCGUUUGUGGAGAUUGAUCUGGGAGACAGACUUGAAGAGAAGACUGAAGAUAUCUUAACAGAGGACAGAAAGCGGCAUGAAAAAGAAGCAGAACCUCCUGAAAUUGGGCUCUGGAGCAGCUGGCUUUGCUGUUUUCCUAUCUGGACAAAGCAGAGGAAGCAAAAAGAAAAACAGGAGUAGCCACAAAAUAGGGCUCCCCAGAGUUUCAGAAUAUGAAAGCCAAUAUUGAAUGAAAGGACACCAGUGUGGAAUGAGUGGCCAGCCAAAGACUAAGCACUGAAUAAACUCAAAUCCAUAACUUGAGUAGCCUGAUUG